GAGUGGCGCUAACAUCCUAAGUUUUG
rnacentral:piRNA from 1 species